GCAAAAUGUACAAAAUGUACAUACAUGUGAAAAGUUUACAAUUAAGGAAGAAUUGGAAUAAUUUCUGCUGUCAUAGAGUUUUUUUAAUAACUGACUCAGACUGUCCACUCUCAUGUCUAAGGAUAGAUGUGAUAGUGUUGACUGUUUCUCCAAAUUUAGACAGUAAUCCAACAAACAAAAGACAUAUAAAUACCAACAUAGAAUCUUCAGCGAUUAUAAUAUACUGU
rnacentral:lncRNA from 1 species